CUGCGGUAAAGUAGUCUGAUGCAUGCGGAACGCCAGUGUGUUUCUUUUCUAAUACAUAUUAAUCAACCAACUGAAUUUAUUGUUAUCAAACUUCCAUUUCAAUAUCAUAAUUUCAGUUACAUGUUUGACAAUACUAGGUACUCCUAUUACCUUAUGGGUCAAUCAGAUAAACCUUAAUUAAUGUACCCCCAAUGGGGAAAAACAAUACAAGUCAAAUAAGACUUAUAUACUACCAAGUAUAAGAUUGCAUGGUACCUCC
rnacentral:lncRNA from 1 species